CCUACAAUCCUCUUGGGUGGCCUUUCAGGAAACUCCUGCAUGGGGUCCUGCUAGGGGUCCAGGCCAGCACCCAAAGCCUUUCCACACUCCCCAGGUUCUUUUAAGAACCUCCCUCCAUACACAGCUAGCACUGAAAUAAAGAAGUCCCUUGAGAGCGCGUUGACACAAGCAUGAAGCUUUGGCUAUUAAUCAUCAAGGCACACCCGCCAGCCUGGCCGCUGUGGUUGGGGUUUCAGCGUGGAUUGGCAGAAAGAAGAGGCCCAGGAGGGGGUUUGUGCUGACCCAGGAGCCGGGUUUCACUUGGGAAGUGUGAGCCGGGGAAUCUUUCUGAGGCUCCGGGGCUGCCCGUCCUGGUUCACACCCACAGAGCUUGGCCAGGCAUUCCCUCUUCUCCCCUGGGUCAGUAACCAUGAGCUCAGCAGCGUGUCCCGUCUGUUUCUUUGAGUCAGGUGACAUCCUUGUCAGGCAUGGGAACUUCCUAGGGAGAAGCCAGCUCUUGGCACUGGGAGCACUUGCAUUCUACAGAUCAAUUUUUCCUGUGGGUCUGUGUUUGCCUUUGAGGCAGUGUCCCACGUCUGACCAUGUGUUCGAGGUGACUAUUUUAUGCCAGCAAAAGAAAACAAGCUUCACACCUCAGGGAACUGAAGGUGAGGCGACAGCUGGCUGACGGUUCAUGAUUCACCCAAGUGGAUACUGAACCCCAGGCCUGAAAGGGGCUGCCGCCCAGGGCACAUAUCAAGUCACGGAUGAGAACCCGGGUUUGGCUACUUGGAGAGUGACAAGGGAUUGCAACAUGUUUUUAGCUAACCUCAGCUCUGCAGAGCCGGGCACCCGGGAGUAAGGUUUAGGGAAGUCGAGCGUCCUUCAGUGCUUUUCCCAGAACAGCUGGGCAUGUCAGAGGACAAGCGUUCCAAUUUCACUCUCUUUCUUACUAGCUCCGUGACCUGAGGUGACCCUAUUAGCUUCUCUGCACCUCUGCAACUUCACCUGUGGAGAGGAGGGAUCACCCCCGAUUCUGCAUGUCCCCUGGGGCUGCCCUGAUCCAGGGGGACAAAACAAGUAGAAGGAAUUGAGCACUAAUAGCAGAAGCUUGGCUGGAAGCCUCAGCCCAGGUUCCUGCUUUCCAGGGCUAGGUCCCCCUCCUCACUCAGGGUCUCAGCUGAGCCUUCUGGUGCUCCUCCAGCCCCCACCCCAAAGUCUGCCUCAAGCACUUGGUCACCUGGGUUCCCGCAGCAGCCUAUGAGGUCCCCAUGACAGCGCAGAGCACAGCGUGUCCUUCAGCGCUUAGCAGCGAGGACACAGAAGGCGUCAGUCUGCAAACCAGAAAGAGAGCCCUUACCAGAACUGGACUACAUGGACACCUGACCUCAGACUUCCAGCCUCCGAAAGUAUAAGAAAAUAAAUUUCUGUUGCUUAUGCCACCCGGUCUGUGGCAUUUUUUUUAUGGCAGCCCGAGCAGACGACGACGAUGGCUAAAAUUAAAGACUGCUGACACCAAGUGUUGUCAGGGAAGUGGAGUAACUGGAACAUUCCUACCCCGUGAGAACGUAAAUGGUAAGAGCGCUUGGAAAUCACUUCAGCAGUUUCUCACAAAGUUAAAUUAUACCUGCCAUGAUCCGCUUGUUCUCCUCCCAGGAAUCUGCCCAAGAGAAAAGAAAACAUAUGCCCACACGAAGACUUGUAAACAAAUACUCAUAGCAACUUGAUCUGUAAUAACCACAAACUGGAAACAAGCCAGCUGUCCAUCAACAUGCGAGUGCGUAAACCAACUGUGCUACCUCCAUCAUGUGUCGUCCCAGGCCCAGACCAAGGCUGUCAGGGGCUCCCUGGGCAGUGGGUAAAGGCUCAGCAUCCAAGGUGGGGGCUUGCAGGUUCUAAGGGGUUGACCCUGACCUAGAGCUGGCCCAGUCCUGCACAGCUGGACCCUCAGAGACUGUCCAGGCCCUAGAGCAGAGGUGGCAGCCAGUGGGGGUUUGAAGCAUGGAUCUGAGUGCUGACCUGGCCACUACUGGCCCUGUGACCUCAAGCUGAUCCCUGAAUCCUUCUGGACCAACAGGAAUAGGAUUCCAACUUCAACUUAACUUCCUGCAGAAUUCCCCUUGACUCCUGGCCCUCCCAUCAAAGCCUCCCCACUCGAGGCUGUGUCAGCCUUGUUACCGCGUUGCUCCAUGACUUGUUCACCAGUGUCCCCUAGCAGGUGGCACACAGUAGUUCAACACAUGUUGUCAAUUGAUAAAAGCAUCUACGAUGUGCCAGGCACUUGACAUACGACAGCUUAUUUAAUUUUCUAAACAAUCCGGCAUUGUGGGUCUAAUCAUGCCCAUUUUUGAGAUGAGAAAACUGAGGUGGAGUGAACUGACUCACAGGAGCCUGACACACAGGGUCAUGAAGAGGCGGUGCUGGAGUCUGAGCCUGGCUUAUUAGACUCCAAAGCCCCUGAGUUUGCUGCCACACGGGGCUCCCCAGCCUCUACCGAGGGGUGACUUUGCCUGAACUUUCUGCCUCACUGCUGGGCCCCAGGAGACAGAGCCUGCAGAGUGCUUGGCAAGGCCCCCCUGGCUCCCAGCAGUGCUGCUCCUGCGAGGAGGCCUUUGUGGACGAGAGGGUGAGCUCACCGUGCGGGGUGGAAGAUGUCGGGCUGGUGGCUGGCGAGUGGCCUCUGGUUCACCUGACUGGCUCAUGUUUGGGGCGUGUCCCUGUGAGUCUGGUUGGGUUUCUUGUAGGUUCCCACGGAGACUGGCCUCUUCUGGGAGGCGACUGAUGCUGCCUUUCCUCCCUGACCAGGCGACGACUCCACUCACUCUUCCCAAGGCCUCAGCCUUCAGUCCCACCGAAUCACUCAGGGGAAAGUCAGAGCUCGUAAUUAUUUGACUAAUCCUCAUGUGGCAACACACUGGAGAUUGUUUUUUUAGCACGAGGCAGGGCCCGAGUGAGAGCUUUUCUCCCUGCAGUCUUGCCUUGUCUGGGUCUGCGGUCUGGAAGCUAGGCGCCUCCUUCCCUGGAGCCUGGAGAGGUGGAAGUGGUGGGUCUCCCAAGCCCGGGAACCCACAGCACCCCCUUGAUUAUCAGUCUCCUGGGGCUGCUAUAACAAUUUACCACAAAAUUGAUGGCUUAAAACAAGAGAAAUUUAUUUUCUCACCAUCGUGGAGACCAGAAGCCCCAAAUCAAGGGCCUUAUGUGGGAUGAUCCAGGAAAAAAGCUCAUCUCAAGACAUUUAACAACAUCUGCAAAGACCCUUAGGUCACAUUCGCAGUUUCCCAAUGGGCAGCUAUUUUCGGGGGCAGGGGGCACCAUUCAGCCCCUACCUCCCAGAAUUUGCCUCUGCCAGUGCCGAAUAAUGGCACAGACACUCCCCUCCUUGCUGGGGGUCCCUCCCAUUUGUUCUUUCCUCUCCAUCCCAAGAGCGACUGUCCUAUUCAGGCCCUCUCUUCUAUUGCUGGGACUGGUGCAGUAGGCUUCUAACCUGCUCCACUUUCAUCUCUCAUUCUUUUUACUGCUCCAGAGGGACUUUGGUAACCACCAAAUUAUUCUGUAUCAUUCGUGCCUCGGACACUUUGGAAGAGCAAGUCCAGUCUUCCAGGUGUGGUGUUUGAGGCCCUGACCAGCUGCUCAGCUUCUUGUCCUGGUCUCUGCCUCUACCCUCCCCCAGACCCACCGACACUGUACAGCCUUUAAACGGACUAUCCUCUCACUUCAAAAUGCCUUUUGCUUAUGCUCAUUGUCCAUUUCCCAGCCCUCUGGCCAGAAGCCCCAGGAGGUCUUCCUCAGCCCUGUCUCGUGUCCAGAGCACCUUCCUGGGCCCCAGCAUUUGUCCCUCACCAGUGCUGGUCACUGACACGGCCCAGGCCUUCUUAAGUAGAGUUGGAGCUCCCUGGGGGAGUCUGAGGUCACCAUCACGCCCUGUGCAGAGCUCAGCACAGAGGACGCACUGGGAAAGGUUCGCGGUGUGAAUGGCCAAGUCACAGUAAGUCACUGGGAAGCAGAGAUCCUACUUAACUCAUCGGCUUAAUUCUGAGUGCAUCUGCCCGCUCCGCCCCCCUCCCCGCACCUGUCUUAAAGUUGUAGGAAGUGAGCUCCUACGAUGCACAGUGGAGUAUGUCGAAAAGCUCCCCUUCUGAAGCUGGAUGUAACCCAAAGCAAAGCCUUCCUUGGCCACCUAGGCUCAGGUACAACCUGGGCAGGUCAGUGGGUUUUUCAGAGCCUCUCCUUCCUCAUCUGCAAACAGAUUGGUUUUGUUUUCCUCAAAAGAGUGGCCAUAUAAAUAGUUACGAUUUGGCCCAGAAAUUCUGCUCCUGGGUCCCAAGAGGAACACGUCUACCGAGACCCUCAUACCAGAAUGCUCAGAGCAGCCUGAUUCGUCAUGGGCAGCGCGGAGGCCCAUCAGUGGUGAAUGAUACACGCGGCGCAUCCGUACAGCAGACGGUUACUGAGCGGUGGAGCGGAAUGAAGGAGAGAGACGUGCUACCACCUGGAUGAGCUCAGAAGACAUCAUGCGGAGGAAAAGAAGCCAGCCAUGAAAGAUCGUGUAUUGUACAAUUCCAUUUAUGGGAAAUACCCAGAACAUGCAAAUCUGUGGAGACAGAAAUUAGAGUAGUGGCUGUGUAGGGCUCAGAGGGGACGGCCCGGUGGUGGCAGGGGCGUAUCCAACAGGUAUGGGGUUUCUUUGGGGGAUGAUGAAAAUGGUCUCAGACUGACUGCUGUGGGACCCUAUGGACCAUUGCAUUAUGCACUUUGGAGGGUGAACUCUGUGGUAAGUGAAUUAUAUCUCAACAAGCCUGUUCCAGAAAUAACACACAGUGGCAGUGCGGCAGAAGGGUCAGGCGCCAAGGUCGUGGUGUCUUUCAAGUAGAUCUGAGUUUAAAUCCUGGCUCCACUGCUGAGCAGAUGAGGGAGCUUGAGGAAUAAUAAUUAACUUUUCAGAACGUCAGUGUUUUCACCUAUAAAAUGGAGACAAUCCACAUGCCUGCUUCCCGGGGCUGUUUUGGGAAUACAUUAGAUGAGGCUCAUAGAGUCCUCGGCACAGAAGGGGAACGCUUGACGUAGGCUGUCAUUAGCUCGGUCUGUGCAGGAUGCUGUGUGUUCUCAGUGGCGGGAGCUCCUCCGCGGCCCCGGGCAGUGGCCUACCACUUCUCAGGAAGAAGAGGAGUGGGCUCUAACCAGGUUCCCAGCCCCUUCUCUGCGGGCACCUAAGCCACGCCAUCGUCCUGCAGUGAUGCUGACCACGUGUGGGGAAGACGGCCGUGGCCACUGUCCACUUCUUCCCCUCGACUCUUUGCUUUGGGUGGGCAUCCCCAAGGAGGCUGCCCGGGCAUCUGAGGGCAUCUGAGGACACUUCGGAGGUAGCGAGCUCUUUGCUCACCAGUGACCCCCGCACCUUGGCCGAAGGUUGCCCUUUCCAACCCGAGGGGCUAAGCUGGCUCCCUUCCCACGGGCUGACCCAAACCAGCACUUGGCCACAGGGCCAGUGAGCGGGGCGUGAGGAGCUCCUGCUGCUGGGGACACCGGGCGUCCCACCCAAACAAGCCCACCCUUUGUCCGCCUUCCUGGCGCUUGCGGCCCCUCGCGGGCGCCCUUGAGAUCAGUAGAGGCUUCCCCGCAUCCUCCUCAGCUCCAGGGCGUGUUAACAUCCCUUGGCCUCCACACAAAGAACUCCAAGGGAUAUCUUUAAUAGGCAUGGUGUUCCCUCUGUAUUUUUUUAAAUUUUUAUUUAAGUCAUCUGUACCCGUGGUGUGGGGCUUGAACUCACAAGCCUGAGACGCAGAGUCACAUGCGGCUCCGACUGAGCCAGCCAGGCGCCCCUCUCUGUAUUCUUCUAGUGCUCGUGAACAAACUCGGGAAUAUGAAAAUGGGCAUGAUCCUUUCAAGCACCACCUCCAAUGGGGGGGGGGCGGCGCUCGGGUAAACCUCAGUGCUCCCACUGGGGACCUGCCCCUCCCCCAGCCUGUCCCUGCUCUGUUCCGUCCUCAGGGUCUCCCUGAGCACCCAGCCUCGGGCUGCAGGGAGAGUCCGCUGUGGGCCGGGUACCCCUGGGGCUCUGCCCAGCCCCCUCCACCCUGCCUCCGGAGCAGGCUCUUGUGACCACAGAGGCCCAGCAGCUGCACCAGCACAGGCUUCCCAGGCACGAACAGAAGCUGCUCAUCAGGAGCCUCUUUGCCUCCCAUUACAGGACUAAUCUCCCCGCCCGGCAAGCUGGGGCUCGGCUGCCCUGGGCCCCCUGCUCCUCCACACUCACCUACCCCUCUCUUCUCUCUGGAGCCUUCCAAACUCCUCAAGUGGGGCCCCUCCUCUCCUUCUUCCACCAGACCACUGUAGCUGCUUGAUGGGCCCCCCUCCUUCCUCCCUGGCUGGUUUCUUCUAACAGUUCCUAAGGGACCUGACCAUCCCCAGGUGGCAGCCCGAGUUAGUCCUGGAGUCGCAGAGCUGGCCAGCCAUUCCUCUCCCCCGCCUGUCCCCCAGGGGCCCUCCUCAGGUGCAGCCCUGCCCCCUCCCCGUUCCCCCCUCUUCCCCUCCCCCUCAGCAAACUACCCAGCAUUCCAGAGCCCACAGUGCCUCUGAGCCUCUGCUCAGGCUGAGGCCUUUGCCUGGAACGCUGCCCUUACUGGUGGCAUCCAGAAAGCAGCUCCCUUACCACCUUCACCAGGAAGCCUUCCCUGAUCUCACCCCACCUACACCUAUCUCAGCUGGGUUUUAUUAGGGGGUCCCGUCUGUGCCUCCCCCUGCUCCUCCCCAUGCUCUGCUGAGCUCGUCUGCCAAUGACUCAAGGGUCCUGACUGCGUCCAGUCAGUCUCUGUACCCCGGAGUCUGGUAUGUUGGUGGCACUCAGUAGCUCUUUGAACCAAGCUGACUUUCGUAAGGCCCCAAGACUGUGGCAGGAAACGGGCUGUCACCAGGGCUGAAGUACACUGGGACCAGCCAGGAGGAAAGUGGUUUCCAGGGCGGGAGGAGCCUUCUCACGUCCUUAGCAGUGGGUGGAAAUGGCUUUGGGUGCACGUAGGAAAUGGGACUCAUAGGCAGGCCCCCCGCGGCACCCCGCCGGCCCCCGCACCCUGCAGCUCAGCUCCCAUGGGCUCGGCCGCCACGCCGCACGCUCCUAGACAGGUGCUCGGAAGGGCAAGGACCCCAGUUCCUCAUGUUCUCACAGAAAAAGGUCCUUAGUGCUUAGAACAUCUGUUUUCCAUUGGUCUGAGGCGAUGGGCCACGUGUUUCUCCAUGGGGGCCACGAGAAGAUGGCCAGGAGCAGGGCGGGGAAGAGGCUGUGGAGCCGUCCUGCCUUGUGGUCAGCUUGGCCCCGGUGACGCCCCAUGUGGGUCUUGGGCAGAUAAACAUGGACGGGAGGAGUCUUGGACCGUGAACACCUCUGAGCCCGGAACGUGCCUUUGAGCAAUGGGCUAAACACUUAACCCACUUUCCUCGGUUCUUCCUCACAAACAGGCCCCGGGAGGCGGGUGACCCUUGUUUCAUUUCAGAUUCGUGGAACUGGGUCUGAGCGGCUGAAUCAGCUUCUCUGGGAGAAGGUGUCACAAUGACAGGGAGGUUUGGCUUUGGACUGUGCUCUUUCUGAUACACUCUCCAAAUAAAUAGUGAUAAUAACAUAGCCUAGUUUUUUUGUUUUGUUUUUGUUUUGUUUUUUAAGAUUUUAUUGGGGUAGGGUAGUGGGUGAGGGACCCUGGGAGGGUAUGUGCUAUGGUGAGCACUGUGAAUUGUGGAGGACUGACGAAUCACAGACCUAUACCCCUGAAACAAAUAAUACAUUUUAUGUUAAUUUAAAAAAACUGAAAAUAAUUUAUUUAUUUUGAGAGAGACAGAGAGCACAAGCAGGGGACAGGGAAGAGGGAGAGACUCUCCAGCAGACUUCACACUGAGCCCCGAGCCUGACGCAGGGCUUGAUCCCAUGACCCUGAGAUCGUGACCUGAGCCGAAAUCAAGAAUCAGAUGCUUAACCGAUGGACCCACCCGGGCGCCCCAGAACAACAGAACCUUGUCAAAAACCACAGACUAGCGUACAUGUACGGGAAGAAGCCGAAAGCAGGCUCUGAGUUUGAAGAGCUGCGUGUCCCCCAGAAUCUGAGUCACCUAGCCCUUCCCGACCCCAAAUACACAUGGCUCACAUGGCUGCCAGGGAACCUUCUCGCACUAACCAGGCCAGGCCUAUCCUUUGUGGCCGGACCCCUUUCAGGGGCCCAGGAAGCUUCUGCUGCCCGGACGGGUAAACACAGUAGCCGCCCCCAGGGUCAGGUCAUGUGGGCCUCGCGGUGUCAGGGAGCUAGCCCAGGGCGCUCUUCUGAGAACCCGCCAUGAAAUGGGCAAGUCAUUUUACAUCUCAGAGGCUCAGUGUCUGUGUCUGCGAGAAGAUGGGUGGAACCAGCUGCCGCAGGCACCUUGGAGUGCAGAUGCGGGGCUCACAGGCAGGGAGUGCCAGGAAAGCCCUUGGCCCACCAUAAAAUGGUCUGCCAAAGGGAAGUUUCCCUGGUAUUGUUACCAUCGUUGGAGCCCUGAAUGCCCUUCCUGGUCUCACCUGCCUUCCACAAAUUUCCCUAGAGCUGGAGUCAUGGCCCAUCACUGAAGGAAGGGCGAAGUACCCAUGUCCACAUAGAGGCUCUGAAACACAGCUCAUUAGGGAAAUAUGUAAGUCAUUUCGAGGACACCUGCCCCACCCUCUGUCACCCCGAACAGUUCUCAGGUUGCUGAGCAAGGGCUGGGACUCUGAACCACUUGGGGCUCUGUGCUCCAUGAGCCAGAAAACGCAGGACUGACUUCUCCAUGUGGCCCACGAGACACAAAGCCUUGUGCCUGCGAUGCUUAUGGGAGCCCACGAAAGGGGUUCUCUGGGAGGGGGGGUCCAUGGGGGUAAAAGCGCUGAGGACCCAGAAAAGUCCCAAUGAGGGUCUGACAAAGACCAAGGUACAGGGGGAAGGCAUAUCCUUUCCUUGUUUGGGGUCACUGAGCUGGAGUCAGGAGACUGUCCAGUGGUCGCGGUCCCCUGCAGCCCUUCUGACAGAAGGGACAGAGCCUGUUCACCAGGCCCUGGACUUUGUCGGGCCUCUCACUUGCUUUGGACAAUGCAUGUGGCGGGGGGGGCGCUGGGUGAGUUCUGAGCCUCGGAGCCCAGAGUCUGACAGCUUCCAUUCUCUAGCUUUUAUUUAAUUUUCAUUUCUUUUUGAAAGAUUUUACUUGUCAGAGAGAGAAAGAGAGGGAGAGAAAGAGAGAGCACAAGCAGGGGGAGGGGCAGGCCGAGGGGGAAGCAGGCUCCCCGCCCAGCAAGGAGCCUGAUGCAGGACUCGCUCCCAGGACCCUGGGAUCAUGACCUGAGCCUGAGGCAGACACUUCCCCGAUGGAGCGAACCAGCCGCCUUAUACAUGUAAUUUUAAAUUGUCGACAGCCUGUAUCUCUACAAAAUGCAAAGAAACAGUGGAGAUUAAUUUUAAUAAUAUAUUUUAU